rnacentral:lncRNA from 1 species
CCGGGAACCCCGAACAUCCCCUUUCUCUACUCUUUCCCUUUGGAGUCUAUAGAGGGAGAAGCAGAGCCUAAGGCUUCAUCAGUUUGAAUACUGGCUGGGGCUGGGCAAGUUAGUGGCUCAAAGUGUUGAAUCUGUCCCUAAAGCAGGGACAGAAAUGGAGGCUCAGGAGGUAGAGGUGGCAGUGGGCGUGCAGGAGAAGCUGUAGGUCAGGAGGUAGAGGUGGCAGUGGGCGUGCAGGAGAAGCUGAGGUCGGGAGGUAGAGGUGGCAGUGGGCGUGCAGGAGAAGCUGUAGGUCGGAAGGUAGAAGUGGCAGUGGGCGUGCAGGAGAAGCUGUAGGUCGGGAGGUAGAGGUGGCAGUGGGCGUGCAGGAGAAGCUGUAGGUCAGGGGGUAGAGGUGGCAGUGGGCGUGCAGGAGAAGCUGUAGGUCGGGAGGUAGAGGUGGCAUGGGCGUGCAGGAGAAGCUGUAGGUCGGGAGGUAGAGGUGGCAGUGGGCGUGCAGGAGAAGCUGUAGGUCAGAGUGGAGAGGUGGCAGUGGGCGUGCAGGAGAAGCUGUAGGUCAGGGGGUAGAG